UACAGAGGUCUCAAGCGUUGUUCGGAUUCAUUGGGCGUAAAGGGCGCGUAGGCUGCGGGGCAAGUCGGGUGUGAAAUCUCAGAGCUCAACUCUGAAACUGCACUCGAUACUGCUUUGCUUGAGGACUGGAGAGGAGACUGGAAUUUACGGUGUAGCGGUGAAAUGCGCAGAUAUCAGGAGGAACACCAAUGGCGAAGGCAGCUCGCUGGGACGGUACUGACGCUGAGGCGCGAAAGCGUGGGGAGCAAACAGG
rnacentral:rRNA from 1 species